ensembl:lncRNA
GUCUUGGAUUAAUGUUAGAUUAAUAGUCUAUGUGUGUUGAAGUUAAUUAAAUACCUGCUUUUCUUCUACUCCGUGUCGAGCACAUUCUCUACAACCACGUACUGUGACAGAAUUCGUGACCAGAACCGAAAGAAUGAGCAAGGUUCAUAAAAAUGGCUCAGGCGAGCCCCGACCCGAUCGUCUUCACGAGGGUGUUUGUGCCACUUGACCUGGUCAGUUCCCUCGAGGGGAAACCCUUAUGACACUGUUCUGGCUCGGAAUUAUUUUCCAUCAUCCCACAGAGCUCCCAGACACCACAACCAUGACUGGAAGGAGACAGACGACUGGAGAAUCUCCGAUCCCGAUCCGGAACCCCUCCGCCGGCCGUUCCCAAGUCAAGUCAGCUGGCCGUUCUCGAGUCAAGUCAACCAGCUGUUCCCAAUUCAAGCCCUCUGGCCAAUCAUGUGGCAACUCCACCGGCAGUGCCAGCUCCUGGAAAGCGCCUUGCUUUGCCUGCUCCUUCAGAGUGCCCUCCAGUGCCAGCACCUCGUAAGUGCUUCCCUGAUCCCCAGUUAAGCCCAGGGAGGGCUCCUGAUUCCGCGUUUAGCCCAGGGAGGGCUCCUGAUACCUCGUUUAGCCCAGGAAGGGCUCCUGAUCUCCAGUUGCACCCACGAAGGGCUCCCGAUCCCCAAUUACGCCCAGGGAGGGCUCCAGCCCCAGAGCUUGCUCCUCCAGAGCUCCCUCCGGUGCCUGCUCCUCAUAAGUGCCUUCCAGAACGCCCUCAAAUCCCCACUCCUCCAGAGCCCCCUCAAGAGCCCGCUCCUACAGAGUGCCCAGCCGAUCCAGCUCCUCCUGAGGGACGCCCAGGAUUCCUAGAUUUCCCCAAGAAGAUUUGUGUGGGGUGGGGGGCAUAUAAUGAACUGAACUGCCUGCUCCGCCAUGGCUCCUGGAGCUCCCUGAUCCGACCCUGCAGGCUCUCUUUUUCUCCGACCUGUUCCUGUCCUGCAUCAGCCUCCAGGGUGCAUGCCCUCCCUCACCGAUGUUACUGUUACGGUGCGGGAUGCGCCUUCCGGGGGAGGUGAUAUCUGUCACAUGUCAGUUUCUGUUUAGUUCCUGUCUGUCCUUAUUUGGUUCUUUUCCUGUUCUCAUUAUGUAAUUGUCCAUUCUGUUCACCUUUGUUGUAUUAAUCAUUUAUUUGCUCCUUAGUUUGCCUUCCUUUAUAAGCCCUGUUUCUGUAUCAUCUUUGUCUUGGAUUAAUGUUAGUUUAAUGGUCUAAGUGUUUUGAAGCUAAUUAAAUACCUUCUUCUCUUAUACUUCGUGUCGAGCGCAUUCUCUACAACCACGUACUGUAACAUGGAGAUUACUGAACAACAAAACUGGACAUCUAGUGAAAUUAGUUAAUGAGUUUCUACUAUGAUUUAUAAUUCACUACUUGCCUUGAAAAGCUUAAAAGCUUAUUCGUCAAUCUCAG